rnacentral:rRNA from 1 species
GACGAACGCUGGCGGCGUGCUUAACACAUGCAAGUCGAACGGAAAGGCCCUGCUCUUGUGGCGUUCUCGAGUGGCGAACGGGUGAGUAACACGCGAGUAACCUGCCCCUGUCAUUGGGAUAACUCUUGGAAACAGGGGCUCUUAUCGGAUAGGAUCUCCUGCUGCAUGGUGGGGGAUGGAAAGUUUCGGCGGUUGGGGCUGGACUGGCGGCUUAUCAGCUUGUUGGUGGGGUAGUGGCUUACCAAGGCUGUGAGGGGUAGCCGGCCUGAGAGGGUGACCGGCCACAAUGGGACUGAGGGACGGAGCAGACGGCUACGGGAGGCAGCAGUGGAGAAUAUUACAGAAUAGGCGGGAGUCAGAGACGGCAACGCCGCGUGCGGAAUGACGGCCUUCGGGUUGUAAACCGCUUUCGAAUGAGACAAAGAGUGAGUGACGGUAAUUGGUAAGGAAGCACCGGCUAACUACGUG